rnacentral:rRNA from 1 species
UGAGGAAUAUUGGUCAAUGGGGGAAACCCUGAACCAGCGACGCCGCGUGAGGGAUGAAGGGGCUUUGCCCUGUAAACUUCUGUCGGAAGGGAAGAAAUGUCUCGAUUCGUCGGGACUGGGACUGUACCUUUAAAGGAAGGAUCGGCUAACUACGUGCCAGCAGCCGCGGUAAUACGUAGGAUCCAAGCGUUGUCCGGAUUUACUGGGUGUAAAGGGUGCGUAGGCGGACUUGUGCGUCAGGGGUUAAAUGCCACGGCUUAACCGUGGACCUGCCUCUGAUACGGCAAGCCUAGAGUGCGAGAGAGGAUGGUAGAAUUCUUGGUGUAGCGGUGAAAUGCGUAGAUAUCAAGAGGAAUACCAGUGGCGAAGGCGGCCAUCUGGCUCGCAACUGACGCUGAGGCACGAAAGCGUGGGGAGCAAACA